CUAGGCAACAGGAACACUCCAACAUUCCAAGUCCUUUAGAAUGCUGCGGCAGAUGAUUGGCUGUUCAGAACUGAUUAGUUUUUCAUUUUGAAAAAAAAACUCAAUCACAAUGUUUGGUAACCAUAACUAGCAGGUGGUAAACAUCUGUGUUACCUUUUAGGUCAUAAUGUAGAUAAAAAAAACACUAUGUGUUCUUGUGUAGCACAGGGGCGGCCAACCAUUCAGAGACCAAGAGCCAGCUUUUUAACUGUUACUGCAAAGAGCCACAUCACACACACACACACACACACACACACACACACAGUCCUCUGCUCAGCCAGAUUUACUGUAAAUGUGACACACCAACAUGAUAAUGACAGAAAUUGACUCCUACAGUACUAAAACCAGAAGCCAGUCAUUUUCAAGAAUGAACACUGUGUGCACUGUCUCACACACACAAACUCUCAGUUCAACCAAGUCCACAAAUAAAAUUAUAACAAUUUACAAUGGCUUUUUUUUCUUACCAUGCAUGCUUGCUGAGAGUAUCCUGAGCGCAGUCUGAUUGACAUUGGGGAUAUUUUUCCAUUGGCACACUUUUCCAGAACUCAAUGGUCCCUUCCCUUAAAGCAGGUUUCAGUUGGUCCUCCUAACAAAGAUCAAUCAUCUCCAACUCAGCUGCAUCCUCAUCUGUGAUUAUCAGGCCUACAGGAGGCUUUGCAUAUAUACGGCCGGCUCAGCUGUCCGGAGCGCAGAAUAAUAAUUAGUAGCAGAGUCCAAGUGAAGGUUUGCCUGCAUGAGAGUGGCCAAGAUGGUCAUUUUGACCGUUUUCAAAUGUAUAUGUGCAAUAACUUUGACUGUAAUCAAGUAAGUUAUUUUUAAUUGUUCA